rnacentral:sRNA from 1 species
AAAACCUCUAAAACCUUGAUCCAUUUUAAGUAAUAGACAUCGACCCACUUAACCACUGAACCGUCUUAUUGAGUAAUUUAACCGGAAAAUUUUACUGAACCAGAACCUUCCAAUUGAAGAAGAGGCUUUAGUGAAUCAUCUUCGUCAUCGAUCAUCAGAUUCUUCAGAUUCGCAAGUAAAAACUAAGAAUCGACCAAUCGUUUAUUACACGAAUACUUACUUAUAAAGACAAUAUUAAAUAAACCAGAUAUUUUUAUUCCAAUUAACCGUCCAAAAUAAAAAUAGAUAGCCGUUUUAUUUUAAUUUCUCCCUAUCCUACAAAGUGAAAGUCGCCAGUAUCUCUUUGUACUCCCUCGCUAUCUCGAAAGAGUCGUGGAUGACUGCGUCGCUGCUUCUCCUGUACUCGAACUGAAUGGUAGAGUGAUCGACGACAAUUAAGGUGACGAACCCAAAGUCCUUGUCGCCGAGCAGGCUCCAGCUGGACUGCAUGCAAGAGAAAUCAUCUAGACUGGCUCCUCCACCUCCCGCAACAACAUGAAUAGUCCCGUUUAAUGGCUCCUGCAAGGAUGGUUGGAUGGCGUGAUCCCGAAUACAUACAUACAGUUUUUCUCAAAUAGUUGUGGCCAAAAUCCAAAUAUGUACCAUGUGUUUUCUCUGUUAUGAACCUAGGUGAUAUUUGAGCACUAGCUACGAUAAUAUUAGAACUAAUUUGAUAAGAAAAUGGAAUGUUUUUUU